UACACUGCUCCAAGAGGCUGGGCGCCUCCUGCCGCGGUCCUGCUAACCCGGCGGGCAGAACAAGGGCAUACCAAUGACCACUAAGUUGAGGAGCUGCUUCCCGCCCUGCCGCUUUUCCAAUUCCGCUUUCACGUCUAUCUGCUGCCUCAGCUUGCCAGACUUUCUCACUGGUGUCGGAGUGGAGCCCAGCUCUUCUGAUGUUUGAAGGGAAGGAGGUGGGAGGGCAGAUUUUGGAGUGCCGGUCUCAGGAAUGUUAGGAGAAGCUACGCUCACAUCAUCACCAGGAGGCCCUUUGUGAGGAGCGCGCACACUGAGUCCAUUUUCCUCAGAAGUUAAGCUGCAGAAAGAUGAGAAAAACUGUGAGAAAGUCAUUUCAGACACUGCCCAACUGAGUCAGGGGGCAGGGGUAUCUCUUGGCAACCCCUGAUAUUCUGGGUCUCAGGUCUGUCAAGCUGGAAAAGAGAAGUGACCAGAGCCAAUCCACACAAACGAACACUGGGAACCCUAGGUGUCUACUAAACAUGAAGACUCCGCCCUGGCAGACAGCAGGCAGCAACGCUGCUGCAUCCUAAGAGAGUCCGGUGAAGACUUUUUCCUCAUUCGAUUGUUUCGUUAGCUGUACAGAAGACUUUUAGCUCCAUAUCCUCAAAUGCCAGUAUAUAGCAUGGAGUAUAUAAGGAUUUCCCAAGGCAUCUUCUCUUUGGUCCCACUGUGUCCUGAUUGCACCUCCUCAAAAUGACAGACAUGUUUUCCCAAGAAAACUGAAUCAGGGUCAUUCUAAACUAAAAACCCUGAGUCAUGCACCUCUAGGAAAUGCAAACGUGUUGCCCACAUCUGAUGCGGUGAGUCUAGUGAGGCAGAUCAUGGAUUACUGUCUGAGAGGAGAUGCAGAUGGACUGGAUAACACAGACACAACUGCAAGCAUGAGAACCCAAGUCCGGAUCCUAAGCACCCAUGUAAAAGCCAGUGUAGGUGUAUAUAUGAAGAGACUCUGAGAACAUUACGGAGUACUUAAGCUUCUUCACUGAAUUCAACCACUUCCUCUGAAAAAACUCCCACAUAACGAGGACCUAGAUCUGGUUCCCAGCAUCCACAUGGUGGCUUGUUCGAGAUCUGAUGGUUCCCCGACCUCAGCAAGGAACCAGGCACCCCACACAUAUACAGCCAACGUAUUCAAGCAUGCAGAAGAAGACAAAAUCAACAAGAUGGAGAAGGAGGAUCAGGAAGAAAGCUCCUGCACAGAGAGGAAGGGUAGAAAUAAAAUGAAAGUUACAAGAGAUACGAAUCAGAGAAUACCAAGGCUUGGUCCCCAGCACUCACGAAGUAGCUCACAACCAUCCUGAACUCCAGCUCCAGGGACUGCACACCCUCUUCCGACCUCCUACAGCAUUACACGUGUGGGGCACAGAUAUAAAUGCAGACAAAACACUCAUGCACAUAAAACAAAAUAAAAACUCUUAACAAAAGUGCAAACUAGAAGGCAAACGACACGUAAGAGAGCUAAGUGCAGC
rnacentral:lncRNA from 1 species